AAUCAUUUGUUUUGUUCAUCCAGUAAAUAGGAUACAGCAUGAUCGAAACUUAAACUUGCUUUACAUUGCACAAAGGCAAUACAAUAAGUGAAGACCGUUUAGUAGUUUUUUUUUGUUUUUUUUCCGAUUGCAAGCAUUUGACUGUUAGCCUAAGGUCGGAGUGCCCAAAAGUAGAUAACCUGGAUAUUUUAGAAUUAUAGCCUUAAUGAGGACUUAUACUUUUAAAGUAUGACAAAGAAUCACAGAGCUGUAAUUCUAAUAUCUGGUAACGGUUGAUCUGUACAACCUUGUCAUUUUUGCUUGAUCAGCAGCCCCCCCC